rnacentral:rRNA from 1 species
UAGGGAAUCUUCCGCAAUGGACGAAAGUCUGACGGAGCAACGCCGCGUGAGCGAAGAAGGCCUUCGGGUCGUAAAGCUCUGUUGUUAGGGAAGAACAAGUACCGUUCAAAUAGGGCGGUACCUUGACGGUACCUAACCAGAAAGCCACGGCUAACUACGUGCCAGCAGCCGCGGUAAUACGUAGGUGGCAAGCGUUGUCCGGAAUUAUUGGGCGUAAAGCGCGCGCAGGCGGUUUCUUAAGUCUGAUGUGAAAGCCCACGGCUCAACCGUGGAGGGUCAUUGGAAACUGGGAGACUUGAGUGCAGAAGAGGAAAGCGGAAUUCCAAGUGUAGCGGUGAAAUGCGUAGAGAUUUGGAGGAACACCAGUGGCGAAGGCGGCUUUCUGGUCUGUAACUGACGCUGAGGCGCGAAAGCGUGGGGAGCAAACAGGAUUAGAUACCCCCGUAGUCC